rnacentral:rRNA from 1 species
UACGGAGGGUGCAAGCGUUAUCCGGAUUCACUGGGUUUAAAGGGUGCGUAGGCGGACAGGUAAGUCAGUGGUGAAAUCUCUGGGCUUAACUCAGAAACUGCCGUUGAUACUAUUUGUCUUGAAUGUCAUGGAGGUAAGCGGAAUAUGUCAUGUAGCGGUGAAAUGCUUAGAUAUGACAUAGAACACCGAAGGCGAAGGCAGUGUCCUGGCGAGUGACUGACGCUGAGGUGCGAAAGCCAGGGGAGCGAACGGG